rnacentral:lncRNA from 1 species
GAGCACGUCUCGAUGAUACUUCAUCAAGAGUCUGCUGCUUCCAGGCUUGCUUUCUUCAGUCAGCUGAAUGCAGGGAACGAGGAAGCUCCAGGGCAGAGCUGCAAGAUGGAAGGAGCCAGGAUCCCUGAGUCGGCCUGCAACAGACCGCCUGCUGACCAGGAACACCUGCCGUGGAAGUUUACCAGAGCGAGAGAGAGACUUCUGUUGUGCUUUGGCCAGUUGAGGAGACUGUGCUGUAGGAUCUCCACAACUUCUGGAGUUCGUCCUUUUUUGACCUCCUCAAAGGGAAAGGGCAAAAGAGCAUUGGGAGCUUUUAUAAAUGCACGUGUGUGCACGCCAGCCAUGCUGCACACUAUCCCCUGUUGUGACUUUACCAUGGGCCUGGUGCCAACACGUGCUAACUGCACACUGCUUGCACCACUAAUUUGGCAGAGACUGUUUCAGUCAGAGCGGGGACUUUCUUUUGGGAGUUUCCUGCUGGGCUAAUAAUUUUUUAUGGGUAACACUGAAGAUCAAGUUACAGGUAACUUUUUAGUCAAGGAACAGCUAGUUGAGAAUUUGGAUAAGAGUUGAUAGUCUAAGUGGAAUUGCAUAUUUGAAAAUCUUUGUGGAGUUGGAUGUUGUUGAAUUUGCAUAGGCAGCAUGUGCUUUAAGAUUUGGGAAUAACAUAUCUCAUUAUUGUAGUCUGAACACCUGCUAUGUCUUGUGAGUCUUGAAACCUGACUAUGGGAAGAAAUUCGAGGCUCAUUUUCUUUCUCCAGUGGAACAAGUCCCAGUUCUUUCAGAGAGGACAGAG